rnacentral:rRNA from 1 species
CCGCCGGCGACCGGCGCACGGGUGAGUAACACGUAUGCAACCUGGCCGUGACAGAUGGAUAACCGGGAGAAAUCCCGCCUAAUACAACAUAAUGCCCGGGAGGGGACAUCCCCUGCCGGUCAAAGGGGGCGACCCCGGUCACGGAUGGGCAUGCGGCGCAUUAGGUAGUUGGUGGGGCAACGGCCCACCAAGCCGACGAUGCGUAGGGGUUCUGAGAGGAAGGUCCCCCACAUUGGAACUGAGACACGGUCCAAACUCCUACGGGAGGCAGCAG